UUCAAGUCGGUUUUAGAGUCCAGCCCCCAACUUCAACCCCAGUAUCUUUGUUCUGUUUCCUGUUUGCAUACCCAGUCUACUGGAUAUGCAAUAAGCAGUGUAAUUCUUGCAUAUAUUAUGCAGUGCAAACAAAGGGAGCUGAUGUCUGUGUUCUCAGGUGCUGAACCGCAGCAGUUGAGCGCUUCAGUAAUGGGGAGUUCAGAAGAACCGGCGGUUGUCACAGCGCAGCGUUCACCGGUUCCACCGCGGAGCGACCAUAUCUCCUUCCUGGAGGGACACAAGCUGUACGUCUGGGGGGGCUGCCAGUGUCUGGAUGGACAAGAAACGUUUUUUCCCAGUGAUGAGAUCUGGCUUUAUGACAUGGAGAGUGGAGUUUGGUCUCGGAGGCAUAUGGGCGGAGAGGUUCCUCCUGUUCUUUCACAGGCUUGUGGUGCAUAUCUUCAUGGCAUACUUUACAUUUUUGGGGGAUGUGACAUCAAUAGCCACACCAACACGAUGUAUUGUGUUGACCUGUUGGGCGUGGAAUAUAACUGGAGAAAAGUGACAGACACAGUGGGAGGGACACCCUCUCCCAGGGUCAGACAUUCCUGCUGGGUCUACAGAAACAGGCUCAUCUACUUUGGUGGAUAUGGGUGCAAAACAGUCAGAGAGGUCAACAACUCCAAGAGCUUUAUGGUUGACGAGGCUAGCUGGGCAACAGUCGGGUCAGAUUUCUUCCAGUUUUGGGGUUGGAAUAAUGAAGUGCAUAUGUUUGAACCAGUGUCAGCCACAUGGACUGAACCACAAACCCAGGGCCAGCCUCCAGAGCCCCGGGCCUCACAUGCCGGUACUAUUUUAGGUCAUAAGGGCUAUAUCUGUGGAGGCCUGGAAAUGCAGAUGAUAGACAUUCAUUGUUUAGAUCUGGUAACAUGGACAUGGACACAAAUAGAACAUCAGGCUGCUUCUGUCCCACGGGGCCGCACUCUUCACACACUGACUGCCAUCUCAGAUGACACACUCUUCCUGUUUGGAGGCCUCAGUACUUUUGGGGAAGUCCUCAGUGAUGGGUGGGAAUUUGACACUAAAACAAGAGAAUGGAGAGAGAAAGACCAUGCACAUAAAGACAAGCCCAGGUUAUGGCAUUCUGCUGAUAAGGGGAGAGAUGGUGAUGUAGUCAUUUUUGGAGGAAGCCAGACCUACCUCUUUGUAAUGGAUUCGGUUGCAGUUCUCAGGUCUCCCUCUCAGAAUCACUGUGCAGAUGUACUGGUGUUUCAGACUCAACCGUACUCACUGUCAAGACCCUGCCAUGUACCCUGCCCUCUUCAUACAGGCUGUCAUGAUGUCAUCUCAGAAGGGACAGAUGAGACACAUGCGUGUGUAUCGGGUGCAGAGUGACUGAUGAAGGAAUGCUGCCAUCAAAGGCUUUGAAGCUUUUGUGCUGAAGAACUUUUGUGGUGGAGCAGGUGACGGUGGCAUUUGUGAAAAAAGGAAGACCUGAAACACUAAUAUAAUAAUACGAAAUGCAGGCUGGUGUGAGCAGUGAGGAUGGAGAAUCCACAGCAGCAUCCUGGAUAUGGUCCAGUGCCAUGGAUGAGACACUCCAUCACUGCCUCAUCUGAACCAGAUGUUGCUGUGGUCUCUUCAUCCUCAAUGACCCCAGAGCCAGUGAGAACAUCUAGAGAAAGACCAAAAGACACUGAGGAUGGACACCCAAUGGAUCCCCUGGAGAAAAAUGCCUUGCUGAAGGACACACUGGUUGUUGAGAACCAGCAACCUUCUGCUUAGUUCAGUGGUUUAGCCUACUACAAAAGUAGUCAUGCUCAUGGAAAGCAGGCACACAAAUGUUUGGAGCAGACACAGUGGAAGCCAGAUUGUCCUGCACAUGUUCUCCCACUCUUGCCUCAAUGUUGUGGGGUUCAGGGGUGCUGCAUGGUCUUCCUCAUCCUCUGGCUCAACUGUGUCCCCAUUGAGAAGAGUGAGAUUGUGAAGCACAGCACAGCAGCAGAAUUGGCACAGCUGCGUUUAGAUGGCAGUAGGACGUGGCU